UACAGUUUAGUUGAUGGCCUUUUUUUCCAGU
rnacentral:piRNA from 1 species